rnacentral:rRNA from 1 species
UACGUAGGGUGCGAGCGUUAAUCGGAAUUACUGGGCGUAAAGCGUGCGCAGGCGGUGAUGUAAGACAGAUGUGAAAUCCCCGGGCUCAACCUGGGAGCUGCAUUUGUGACUGCAUCGCUGGAGUGCGGCAGAGGGGGAUGGAAUUCCGCGUGUAGCAGUGAAAUGCGUAGAUAUGCGGAGGAACACCGAUGGCGAAGGCAAUCCCCUGGGCCUGCACUGACGCUCAUGCACGAAAGCGUGGGGAGCAAACAGG